AAGUGCCCCUCCCGAGAUCAGGCUCUGGAUCCGCCACUGGAGGAGACAUGUCCACCCAGGGAGCGCAGAUUUUCAAAUCGUGCUAGGUAGUUUCAUGAAUAGCAGUCCUUUUUAAAAAACAAAUUCUUUGUAACCGGUUUUAUAAAUUCUGUAGGACACAUUAAAUGAAAAGUAGCUUAGAUGGGAACUUAUAGUGAUUGUGUCAGGAAUAUAUAGGGAUCCAAAACACAGCGUGUAGUAAAAUAAUAACGUGUACCAGACCUCAGAGUUGCCAGGCUAACGUCACAUGGACAGAGAGUAAACAGGGACAAGCCGAGGUCAGGGAAGCCAGAAACCGAGUCAAAGGAG